CAAAGAGACCGCGAAACCGUUAGAGGGGAAGCGCAUGGAGCUUGAUGACCCCAUUCGGGUUCAGGGAGAGUUGCGCGUCAUCCGGUGUGCGGUCUACUCGAAAGAGAGGGCGCUCUCGGGUGCUCGCCGACUCUUCUGCAAUCCCGUCUUGGGGGUCGGCCAACGAAGGAGGCUCGCGACGGAGGAGGGCGAGAGGGAAGGUUCCUUCGCUUGCCCGUUUGGGUGUGGGGAGAGCUUAGAGCCUCUUGCCUGGUGUGGUUGCGAGCCUCCGAGGGGAAGUGCGACCUUCGCACGCAGCAGUACAGGCUCCGCGGGGGCCGGGUCGCUUCUGGUCGUUCGGGAAGCGCGGCGAGGGACUGCCUGCAGUGUCCGCUGACGCUACUCUCGCUUGAUCGGGAGGUGGGCCACGACGUUACCUG
rnacentral:sRNA from 1 species